rnacentral:rRNA from 1 species
AUGGCCGCGGGANNNUNUCCGUGCAAAGGUAGCAUAAUAAUUUGCCCUAUAAUUGAGGGCUAGUAUGAAUGGUUUGACAAGAGUAAUACUGUCUCUAUAAAAAUUUUUAGAAUUUAUUUUUUAGGUGAAGAAACCUAAAUAUAAUUAAUAGACAAGAAGACCCUAUCGAGCUUUAAAUCUAUUCAUAAAAUAAGAAAAAUAACAUUAUAUUUUUAAUUAUGAAAAAUUUUGGUUGGGGCGACUAAGGAACAGAUAAAGCUUCUUUAAUUCAUCAAAAUUAUUUAAAUAAUGAUCCAUUAUAUAAUGAUUAAAAGAAUUAGUUACCGUAGGGAUAACAGCAUAAUCCUUUUUAAGAGUUCUUAUCGAAAAAAGGGUUUGUGACCUCGAUGUU